GAGUCACUUUGCAUCGACACAUGCUUCAGCGCUCCGAGUGUUUAUAGCGUUCAGACUCAAACACUUUAUAACACACCGCUGUUUACCACGGUACAAAAUGAAUCUCUUCAGCAGCUUCAUCUGGAUUCUGACAGCUUUUAUUCCAGCAUCCAGAGGAAUCACUGUGACUCAGCCUGAAGUUCUGCCUGUUUCUGAAGGACAAGACGCCACUAUAACGUGUAAAACUGAACCUGGGAUAUCAGGCUGGGGUUUAGCUUGGUAUCAGCAGAAACCUGGAGAAGCUCCUAAACUCAUCAUUUAUUCUGUAAACAAUCGCUAUGAUAACAGUUUCAGUCGAUUCAGUGGGAAUGGAAGAUCUGGUGGGACUGAUUUCUCUCUGACCAUCAGUGGAGUCCAGACUGAAGAUGCUGGACAUUAUUACUGUCAGAGUUAUCACAGUGGUGGUGUGUUCACACAGUGAUAAAGAGUCGUACAAAAACCUCCU